rnacentral:rRNA from 1 species
UACGUAGGGACCAAGCGUUGUUCGGAUUUACUGGGCGUAAAGGGCGCGUAGGCGGCUUAACAAGUCACUUGUGAAAUCUCCGGGCUUAACUCGGAACGGCCAAGUGAAACUGUCAAGCUAGAGUGCAGAAGGGGCAAUCGGAAUUCUUGGUGUAGCGGUGAAAUGCGUAGAUAUCAAGAGGAACACCUGAGGUGAAGACGGGUUGCUGGGCUGACACUGACGCUGAGGCGCGAAAGUGUGGGGAGCGAACAGG